rnacentral:misc_RNA from 1 species
UGAUUAUUGCCACUGGAUGUAAAACUUUCAGUAUUAUUUAAUACACGCCAUACUAAAUCCUUAUUUUGGAUCAAUCAUAAGUAGCAAACUCAUAUACCCAACUCUGCACUGCUGCAGAUUAGGCUUUUACAUCAACGACAGAAAUCAAAAAAUAUUUUCUACAACGUGGGAGGAAUCCAAAUGUAGCCAUGGGUUUGAACAUAACCAGCUUUUUCCAGUAGCUCGUCUGCCUCAGCUGGACCUCGGCUCCCUGGUUUGUAUGGAAGCGACUUCAGCUCACCAUUGUCGAUUCUGUGCAGCAAUGGCGUGAAAAUCUCCCAGGCAGCCUUCAGCUCGUCUCGACGGACGAAAUGCUGCUGAUCGCCCCUUAUUGUGUCGAGGAUGAGACGCUCGUAUGCCUCUGGAAUUGUAACACCCUGAUAACGUUGGCGAUAUGACAAAUCUAGUUCACUCUGUACAGUUGACAUUUCCAGUCCAGGUUUCUUGACCGUAAGUUUCAUGUACAUGGCCUCCGAAGGUUGCAAGCGAAUCACAAACUCGUUCCUCCCUUGCUUUUUGCAUCUGAAAAUGUCACCAGGAACAUCCUUGAACUGAACUCGAAUUUCUGCCUUUCUUGAGCUCAAUGCUUUUCCAGCCUUCAUUAUAAAUGGGACACCCUCCCAUCUUUCAUUAUGAAUCCUCAACACCAUAGUUGCAAAGGUUGGUGUAUUUGAGUGAUCAGGAACAGUAGGAUCAUCUCUGUAACCUUCAUAUUGCCCAAGAACUACCUCUUCAUCCUUAAUUGGCAGCACUGACUGAAGAACCUUUACUUUCUCAUCUCGGAUGUGCUCCGGUUUGAGGGAAAUGGGUUUUUCCAUAGCAACCAAACAAAGAACCUGUAAUAGAUGGUUUUGAAUGAUAUCACGAAUAAUCCCAUAUUCAUCAAAAUAUCCACCGCGGCCUUCAGUUCCGAAGUCCUCUCUAAAGACAAUCUGUAUAUUAUCAAUGUUGUCACGAUUCCAGAGCGGCAAAAAGAAGCGAUUUGCAAAACGCAGCACCAACAAAUUCUGAACCAACUCCUUCCCCAAAUAAUGGUCAAUGCGAUAAAUUUGGGGUUCGUCAAAUAGUUCUCCGAUCUGGGAACUUAGUUGUUCAGAUGAAGCUAAAUCCUUGCCGAAGGGCUUCUCAACAACGAUUCGUGUCCAACCACCAAGAUCAGAUUUGUUCAUACAAUAACUUUUUAUCAUUCUGCAAACAGAGGGAUAUACUGACGGAGGAAGAGCAAAGUAGAAAAGUCUUCUGGAUGAUCCUUCUGUGCUAUUUUUUGAGAAUUCGUGCUCAGAUAUUGCCUUGUCCAGUAACGUAAAGCCCUCACCAGAAUCAUAAGAGCCACUGACGUAUUUAAUCAGUUGCAGAAACUCUAAUACUUCUCCUUCAUUUUCUUUCCCCCGAGAAAGAUACCCACGAAUACGGCUUCUCAAGUCAUCAUCAGAAAUUUUUGUCCUUGCGUAGCCAAAAAUGUGAACUUCAUUGGAUUGCAGAAAUCCCUGCCGAUAGAGGUUGAAGAGUGCAGGAAAAGUUUUCUUUUUGGCAAGAUCACCAGAAGCACCAAGAACAAUAAUAGAAAGACACCCAGUUUCAGGUAUAUUAUCAUUGUCUCUAAAAGAGUCAUUCCUAAUAGAACCCCUUUUCUCAAUACACCAUGAUGCCGCCAUCUUCACAACCAACUUCAGCCUUGUGAGUUGUGAUCUGAAUUAGCAGAGGAUAAUAUAAGAAAGAUCCAGCAAAUUAGCAAGUUAAAGAAAGCAAAAGUUCCGCAACCAAUAAACUACCAAGAUCGAAUAAAGGUGACAAGAAACCAACUUUUAGGUAUUGAAAAGGAGAGUAAGCAGUAAACAGG